rnacentral:lncRNA from 1 species
AUGCUCCCAUCCCGGAGGUCUGGAUUCUCAUCCCAGCACACAGGACCCAAGCAUCCUGGAAAAUGGUUUGCUCUCCCCCACCACAUCACCAACAGACGACUAUGGCACUGUUCUGAAGGCCUUCUUGUCACUCAGCAAAGAAAUGGAAACUGCACAGGACCAACAUCAGCUGGUGAUGAAAUCGAGUUCAGUGGCAUUUGCACCAUGCUUUUGGUAGACAGAAGCUCCCUGCCCGGCCCCUGUUCCAUGAUUGUAUACAAACGGAAAACAAUGAAAUCAUGGCAAUCCACUGAUACAAUUCUUUUAACAAGAAUGCAAGUAAGAAUAGCAAGAAGUCAUCAGAAGAAAAACAGAGCAAGAAGUCAAGUGUAUCAAGUGUGUUUCAGUUUCACCACUUGUUUGUAUUCCCCUAGGUUCUCCCUAUCUAAAUAAUGAUUAAGGGCAUACAAAUCUCAGAUUCAAACACUGAUGCCUUAAACAGAAUAUAAGCUUGUCAUCCUCUUGAUUUUUUGCCUUGAUGCUGUUUCCAUGUCUGGCUCUACAUCAUAGCUCAUCAACACUUUGCUUUCUGCUAGCCCAUUUCAGACACUUUUGCUUUUUUCUCAUGAUUCUUUUGAAAAUAACUCUAAUACUAACCUCCAGCUACAUCUACAGUGACUAUACUUACUGUUUACUUUUGUUCAUAGACUGCUUCUGCAGGAGUCAGGUUAGAGAAAUUUAUCAAACAAAUGAUGAAAAAUGUGCAUAAGCAGAGCCUUAGGUGUCAAUUCUAAGGACUUACAAAAUAAUUGUCUACUGACUUUUUGAAUCAUAAGUAAAAGUUAUCAGAUUUAAGGAGCUCACAGCAGGUCUUAAAGUUUUAUUUUUGUUCGUUCACUUUUAUUCUUUUUUUUUCUGAUUGUAUAUUUCUUUUUUUUUAACUUUUAUUUAAUGAAUAUAAAUUUCCAAAGUACGGCUUAUGGAUUACCACUUUUAUUCUUUUUAAAAAAGAUUUAUUUAUUUGAAAGAGUCAGAAGAGAGAGAGAGAGAAGAGAUACUGAGAGUCUAUCCACUGAUGGCCUCCAGGUGGCUGCAAUAGCCCAGGCUGGGCCAGGAGCUUCAUCCAGGUCUCCUAUGUGGGUGACAGGGCCCAGGUUCUUGGGACAUCUUUAGCUGCUUUUUCCAAGCCAUUAGCUGGAUACGAAGUGGAGCAGCUAAGACUUGAACCUACUGCUGGUGCUGCAGGUGGAAGCUCUACCCACACUUACAUUCUUUAGAAAUAUUAUUUUGUUUUGAAAUAUUACAAUAUAAUAUCCUUAAAGUUGUGUUUACUGAGAUUUUCCAAGAACUAAAUGUAAACCUGAAAGUUAUAAAUAUCCUUGACUGGAAUUCUCUUGUAAUUUAUCUCUUCUAUUAAAUAAUAUUUCACAUGUGAACUGUAUUUUAAUUAUGU